AUGUCAGAGAACACUAAAGUCAUUGCUAAGUGGGUUUCAAAAUUCUGUGAGGAGGCUAUCAAAAAUGACCCAUGCACAGCAAUCACAAGUAUUAUUAAUACUUCAAAGAGAAAGUAUGGUGUGGACAUAUCAACACACAUGGCAUACAGGGCAAAGAGGGCAGCGAAGGCUGUUGUGUUAGGAGACCAGAAAGCCCAGUACACCAAGAUUAGGGAUUAUUUACAGGCUGUGUUGGAUACAAAUCCAAGUUCAAGAUGCAUUGUGACAACAAGAUAUCUGAAGGAGCAUCCAAGCACUAACCCUAGGUUUCAUGCACUGUUCAUUUGCUUGAAUGGAUGCAAAGAAGGGUUUCUCAAUGGUUGUAGACCAUUCAUAGGUCUGGAUGGUUGUUUCAUCAAGCUCACUACUGGUCAACAAAUUCUAGCUGCAACUGGAAGAGAUGGGAACAAUAAUAUUUUUCCCAUUGCUUUUGGAAUUGUUGAUGAGGAGGACACUAACUCCUGGACCUAG
rnacentral:rRNA from 1 species